rnacentral:lncRNA from 1 species
UGAAGAACACUAUGAAAUCUACAUACACUAUAACAAAAAUGGUGUAUAGCGACACUUUUAAAUGUCGAUACAUAUUAAAAAAAGUGCUGCUAGCUAAAUUACCGACACUUUUAAAAAGUGUUGAUAUAUGUGGGGUUCUUAGGUAUAUAGUGACAGUUUAAGAGUGUCGGUGUAACCUAAAAAUAAUGCUGCUAAUUUACCAAUACUUAUUUAAGCAUUUAGCAAUCGUUGGCUGCGGCUUGGAGGAGGAGAAGAGCGAGGGGUUCUUUGUCUAGGGUUUCAGUGGAUUGAGUAAGGGGCGAAUGGGAGAUAGUGAUUGAUUUUUUUUUUCCUUUUUUGUUUGUAAUCGGGCCGAAUGGGCUGGGUGGAGUGGGUUGAGUAGAGUAACCUUUUAUUUUUUAUUAGAUUGGGCUUUGAAUUUAAGCAUUAGUAGAAUUUUUUAAAAAUUUUGACAUAAAUGGGACACUUACACAAAAGUGUCCCAAAAAUGUGUCGNGCGAAUGGGAGAUAGUGAUUGAUUUUUUUUUUCCUUUUUUGUUUGUAAUCGGGCCGAAUGGGCUGGGUGGAGUGGGUUGAGUAGAGUAACCUUUUAUUUUUUAUUAGAUUGGGCUUUGAAUUUAAGCAUUAGUAGAAUUUUUUAAAAAUUUUGACAUAAAUGGGACACUUACACAAAAGUGUCCCAAAAAUGUGUCGCUAUAACCUAAUUCUGUUGUAGUAAUAGAUCAUAAAAGUCUCGAGU